GUGAAUCAUCAAAUUUUUGAACGCAAAUUGCACUCUCUUCGGAGAGUAUGCCUGUUUGAGGGUCAGCCUAAAAAAAAAAAUCGACAUCGUUGCUGUUCCGCGGUGACGUUAGUCGGAAAUUGUGUCAUCUUAAACCUUUUGGUUUUUAAGCUACUUAAAUUUUUCUUUUUACCCCAUGAACGUUUCUAAUAUUUAUAUCUUUACACGUUUAAGGAUAUCGAUUUUAUUAGACAUGGCCGUAAUAACGAA
rnacentral:misc_RNA from 1 species